rnacentral:rRNA from 1 species
UUCCGGUUGAUCCUGCCGGAGGCCACCGCUAUUGGGAUUCGAUUAAGCCAUGCGAGUCGAGAGGGUUCGGCCCUCGGCUGACGGCUCAGUAACACGUGGAUAAUCUGCCCUAGGGUGGAGGAUAACCUCGGGAAACUGAGGAUAAUACUCCAUAGGUUUAGGAGGCUGGAAUGCACUUAAACCAAAAAAUUCCGAUGCCCUAGGAUGAGUCUGCGGACUAUCAGGUUGUAGUCAGGGUAAUGACCUGACUAGCCUACGACGGAUAUGGGUUGUGAGAGCAAUAACCCAGAGAUGAUAUCUGAGACACGAUAUCAGGCCCUACGGGGCGCAGCAGGCGCGAAAACUUCACAAUGUGCGAAAGCGCGAUGAGGGAAUCCCAAGUGCUUGCACGUAAGUGUAAGCUGUUUCUCUGUAUAAAACGCAGAGAGAGUAAGGGCUGGGUAAGACGGGUGCCAGCCGCCGCGGUAAUACCUGCAGCUCAAGUGGUGGUCGUUAUUAUUGGGCCUAAAACGUUCGUAGCCGGUUUAUUAAAUGCCUGGGUAAAUCGUGUAGCUUAACUAUACGAAUUCCGGGUAGACUGAUAAACUUGAGACUGGGAGAAGCUAGAGGUACUCCUGGGGUAGAGGUGAAAUUCUGUAAUCCUAGGGGGACCACCGGUGGCGAAGGCGUCUAGCUAGAACAGGUCUGACGGUGAGGGACGAAGCCCUGGGGCGCGAACGGGAUUAGAUACCCCGGUAGUCCAGGGUGUAAACGCUGCUUGCUUGAUGUUAGUUGGGCCCCGAGCCCAAUUAGUGUCGGAGCGAAGGUGUUAAGCAAGCUGCCUGGGAAGUACGGUCGCAAGAUUGAAACUUAAAGGAAUUGGCGGGGGAGCACAGCAACGGGUGGAGCGUGCGGUUUAAUUGGAUUCAACGCCGGG